rnacentral:lncRNA from 1 species
AUCCAUCUCACUUUAUCCCCUUCAGAGAAACCUCCAACCCUAGCGCCCCCCUUGAGUUCUCUGCCAUUGUAAUCGGCGGCGGCGCCUCCAACUAACCCCAAAUUUACACCACAACACCCCAUGGAUUCCUCUGUCCCAAUCCCCAACCAAUUUCUCUCGAAUCUUUCCAUAACUCUUCAAAUCUCAAAUCUAAGUUCGAAACCCUAAAACCCCAAAGCGCACUAUCUUUGAUUCUGUGGCAUGCAAUCGACCUAGGCUUGUGUUUCAUUCAAGUUUGAAGUUGAUUCAACGCAAAUUGAUGUUGUUCAUUUGUUCUCGACAAAGAACAAAUGAUUAACAUUUGUUUCAUUUAAAUCAAUGUCUCCAGUUGGUUUCGAGUUGGAUUUGGUAAGUUUUCUUCAUUUCUUUGUCUGUUUUUGUUGCUUCACCGUUUGUUCCUCUUCCUUUCUCAUCUUUUUCUCUAGUCAGUUUUUAUUUUGAUUGAAAUUUGACGAGGGUUUGCUGUCAAAUUAUUUCCGUUCAUUUUUUCAGCUUUUCUUUUCAAUUUUUAAAGGUUGUGCACUGAUUUUGUUUAUUCACUUGUUUAGUUUUUAGGUUUAAACUUCUGAUUCUUGCCCUUCUUGUUUUAGUUUUGUAGUCAGUUUAAUUAGGUUUGCUUCAAUUUGAAUAUGUAUUUUAAAUAUAGCUCAUUAGUUAGUUUAAAAAGGAAAAUCAGUCACUUAACUAGAAUUUUAGUUUUGAAAUCCUUCAGUUGUUUAGUUCUUCUGAUUUCUCAUUGAAUAGCUAAAAUAGAGCUCUGAUUUUGGUUUGGUCCCUGGGUUCAAUUCUGACCCAUUUUAAAAGAGCAACUUAUUCAUUUGGGUUUAAGUCAUUGGGUCAAUUUGACCCAUUUGGUUUCUGAAGUAAAUAACAGGGGUUUAAAGGGUAUUUUGGGUAGUUUAGCUUAGGGAAUCUUGCAUAACUAACUUAGGAAGCUGCCUAAAAAGUGGGAUUAGGACUAAUUUAAAAAACUGAUUUUUAAACCAAGGACAUAAGAGCAAAAAUAAAAAUUUGAAAAGGGGGAAAGGGCAAUAAACUGACCCAUUUUCUGCUGCUAAGGCUUGCCUAGAAAGGCAUUGUUUCUUCACUCACAAAGAAAAAAGGAAAAAAAACACUGAAAAAUUUUCAAACGGCUGAGCUAAAAAGAACUCCAAAACUCUUGCAUUUUGGUAGAAAAUUGAUCUAAUUCUGCAAUUAGUCUUUCAAUUCUGAAAAUUUCAAAGGAUUUCUAGUUUAUUUUGGAUUCAAAGAUGGUCUAAAGGCUAUUGAUCACUAUUCCAUUGCUGUUUUUGAGCCGAUUCUAUUGUUGUUUCCCCUUUGUUGAGUUACUAUUGCUGCUGCUUCAUAACUUCAGGCUUUUGUGUUGUUUGCUUGUUGUACUCAGGUACACAUCUCUGAUUCUGAAUAUGUAAGAUUGGAUCGUUUGGCUUGAAGAAAUGAAGAUCUCCGCAUUUACUCGAUGUUUUUUUUCUUGUUUUUUCACCCAACUUGUUAAUUUAUUUCUUAUGUUUUAGUAUACUUAAAAGUGACGUUAUGCCAUGAACAUUUGGGACUUAUGCUGAGAGUUGUACUUGGACUUUUAUGUGUGCUUGUAAUUUCAGCCUUGUUUUGAAUAAAUUAUUUUGAAUUUUAGAUAGUUAUACAGUCAUGCAUGAGCUCAAUGUGAGAUAGUUAAUACCAUUGUUAGGUUUUUCUUUUGAGUCAGGUGUU